GUGAGCACAGUGUGGUGGUGAAUGGUGUGUUUCAGAGGAAAAUGAUGAGUAUAGAGCAAGACAAGGUUUUCUCUUACAAUGUAUGAUGAAGCCUAUGUAUUUGUUGCACAUGGUUAGAUUGGAAGUGAUGAUAUUAGGUGUGCUUUUGUAAAUUUUGCCAAAAUAGUUUUGACUCGUACCAGGAACCUCUUAAGUUCUACCAGAAGUACGAGUAGUAAUGCUUACAGUAAUGAGUAUGAUUUAGGGAACCGUAACAUUCUCCAAGUAGCUGAAGAAUAUAAGCAUCAAGAUAAUCUUGGUAUGGUGAUAUAACUACAGUAGUAAAAGGUACUAAUAUAGUAAUUACUAGAAAUGAUGGGGAAAACAGGCAGAAUAGCUGGGUAAAUCCUUUCUUUUGGAAGAUGCGUGGAAUUUCUUCUUGAGAAAUUAGAAUACUUGUUCUUUACACCACUUCAGACUUCUUUAAGGCUUGCUUUUUUCAUUUGAAAUAGUCUUUUUAAGUAAUCACGGAG
ensembl:lncRNA